GUACACACCGCCCGUCGCUCCUACCGAUGGAAUGGAAAGAUGAACCUGCUGGACUACUGUCGCAAGACGUUGUAGAAAAGCAGUUAAAUCUUUUCAUUUGUAGGAAGGAAAAGUCGUAACAAGGUCUUCGUAGGUGAACCUGCAGAAGGAUCA
rnacentral:rRNA from 1 species